UCUCCGUUAUCCGGAGCAGUCCACUUAGAGUUCCCCCUUGCGGGUGGCAACUAAGUGUAAGGGUUGCGCUCGUUGCGGGACUUAACCCAACACCUCACGGCACGAGCUGACGACAGCCAUGCAGCACCUCUACACAGGUCCCUUGCGGGAAGGCCAUAUUUCUACGGCUAGUCCUGUGCGGUUCAAGCCCAGGUAAGGUUCUUCGCGUUGCGUCGAAUUGAACCACAUGUUCCACCGCUUGUGCGGGCCCCCGUCAAUUCCUUUGAGUUUCAGUCUUGCGACCGUACUCCCCAGGUGCAGGACUUAUCGCGUUAGCUUCGGCACGACCCGCGUACGCGGGCCACGCCAAGUCCUGAUCGUUUAGGGCUAGGACUAC
rnacentral:misc_RNA from 1 species